rnacentral:rRNA from 1 species
GACGAGCGCUGGCGGCGUGCUUAACACAUGCAAGUCGAGCGGAAAGGCCCUUCGGGGUACUCGAGCGGCGAACGGGUGAGUGACACGUGAGUAACCUGCCCCAGACUUUGGGAUAACCCUCGGAAACGGGGGCUAAUACCGGAUACGACACAGCUUCGCAUGGGGUCUGUGUGGAAAGUUUUUCGGUUUGGGAUGGGCUCGCGGCCGAUCAGCUUGUUGGUGGGGUGAUGGCCUACCAAGGCGACGACGGGUAGCCGGCCUGAGAGGGCGACCGGCCACACUGGGCCUGCGACACGGCCCAGACUCCUACGGGAGGCAGCAGUGGGGAAUAUUGCACAAUGGGCGGACGCCUGAUGCAGCGACGCCGCGUGAGGGAUGACGGCCUUCGGGUUGUAAACCUCUUUCAGCGGGGACGAAGCGUAAGUGACGGUACCUGCAGAAGAAGCGCCGGCCAACUACGUG